rnacentral:SRP_RNA from 1 species
AGCCAGAUCCUGGGUGACGUUGGCCCACGAACCCCGCCAGGCCCGGAAGGGAGCAACGGUAGAGGUGUCUGAUGGGUGCCUAGGUCAUCUGGCUAUC